rnacentral:rRNA from 1 species
UCGGGAAUUUUGGGCAAUGGGCGAAAGCCUGACCCAGCAACGCCGCGUGAGGGAUGAAGUAUUUCGGUAUGUAAACCUCGAAAGAAUGGGAAGAAUAAAUGACGGUACCAUUUAUAAGCUCCGGCUAACUACGUGCCAGCAGCCGCGGUAAUACGUAGGGAGCAAGCGUUGUCCGGAUUUACUGGGCGUAAAGGGCGGGUAGGCGGCGCGGUAAGUCACUUGUGAAAUCUCUGAGCUUAACUCAGAACGGCCAAGUGAUACUGCUGUGCUAGAGUGCGGAAGAGGCAACCGGAAUUCUUGGUGUAGCGGUGAAAUGCGUAGAUAUCAAGAGGAACACCUGAGGCGAAGGCGGGUUGCUGGGCCGGCACUGACGCUGAUGCGCGAAAGCCAGGGGAGCAAACG